GAGGCGACACACCCAGCAGGAUCGCUCAACAUACAAACUGGACAGCAAGGUCACUCAUACUGUCAUAGUACUGCCCCAUGGCAUUCUUUUGUAACUCGAAGUAUGGCUGACCUAUGAUCUGACUGGUCAUUAAAAGGGGUGUCUCCAGUGCUCUUUGAGUGAAAUGGAAUGCGUAGAGUACAUGUAACUAACAGGCGUGAAACUUGCUGCAGCCUCUCAGUCCUUAUUCAUCAGGCUUGUUGAGAGAUGGGAAAAACCCUGAUUUGGCUCCACAUGUCUAGCAAUGAGGGAGAGUCAUGGGAGAGUGAGACUGGGCAUUGGUUCUGAAGAUGCGGGCCCUGAUAGCUCUUAUUACAGUGAGCUUUUCUGCCUAGUUUUAUAACUGUGUUUAUUUUCUGUUUUCCAACAUCUCAUGUAGAGAGUGGUCAGUGGUCACGUACUUCCUUGAUUAUCCGUGCUUUAGGAAGAAUGUAAGACUUUUUUUUUUUUUAUAUUUUUUUUUAACAGCUGUUAAUAAACAAAUGAAUUAAAGAAUGUCAACUUAACUGAAUGUUUUCAAAAUAUACUGUCUGGGAUGUAUGCUUCUUGUAGACAACACUUGUCUAUCGUAAUGUCCUGUUGGUGUGUGUAAUGAGGAGAGGAACUGCUAUUUCAUAGGAUUUAGUUUAGUCAAUGAAAAUAAACAUUUGUAGUGUCGCACUUGAAUAAGGUAAUUCUGGCAACCCAUGUUUUGUUUGAGAAUAAUAUAAGUUUGUUUCCCCAAAAUUAUUUCCAUUUUCUUCUGUCUUCAUAGCGCUUACUCUAGACUGGAGGGGAUGGCAUUGACUGGGAUAGGUCGGGCUUCUCGGACGAUCUGUGGAGAAAGCACAACCUUCCGCCCAACUGUGACAGAGAAAAGCCAUAACUGUUUGCCAGCUGUGGGAUGGCUUUGGCUUCUACCCCAUCCCUAAGGCCAUGCUCAAUCACCACCCUCUGUCCAUAGGUCCUGCUGUUUGGCACUGCCUGGACUGUGUGGAUGGGAUGGGAUGUGGCGGGGCCAUGGUGGUGGUCCACUGGCCUCAAAGUCCAAGUGCCAUCUCUCAUUGGUGUCAAACAGUUCCUUCAGGUUCUGUAGCAGCUCCAACCUCAGCUGUCAAAACCCUUUGCAACCAAACUGUCAAGGAGAGGAUGAUACAUUUGACCUAUGCUCAGGGAGAGAUGCUGAAGGAGGUCUAGGAGCCCGAGAGAGGUCAAGGAGGAACUCUGAGGACAAUGGCCACAGGCCCUCAGGGUCCCAGCCAUCCCCUCCAUCCUCUAGCGUCAACUCAGAUACAAAUGGAGAUGGUAAACCUUGAAAAGGAAGAAAGACACUGAAAGAUCCAGGACUAAGACCCAGAAGUAAAAACGCUCAUCAGGCCUGUGAACAUUAAAUCUUUCAUCCAGAGCUGUCCUUAUAUUUUAGAUAAAUAAUAAUAUUUCUG